rfam:Picea glauca, whole genome shotgun sequence.
AAUGGGAUUCCUACAAUUUUAAUACACGAAAUCCCAUUAGAACUCCGCAUCUAAGAACACUUUGGCUAGAGUAGUACUAGGAUGGUGACCUCUCAGAAAGUCCUAGUGUUUUACAUGC